rnacentral:rRNA from 1 species
ACGAGAGGACAAGAGAAGCUUGCUUCUUUUGGAAUCGAGUGGCAAACGGGUGAGUAACACGUAAACAACCUGCCUUCAGGAUGGGGACAACAGACGGAAACGACUGCUAAUACCGAAUACGCUUGGGAGACCGCAUGAUCUUCCAAGGAAAGGGUGGCCUCUACCUGUAAGCUAUCGCCUGAAGAGGGGUUUGCGUCUGAUUAGGCAGUUGGCGAGGUAACGGCCCACCAAACCUACGAUCAGUAGCCGGUCUGAGAGGAUGAACGGCCACACUGGAACUGAGACACGGUCCAGACUCCUACGGGAGGCAGCAGUGGGGAAUCUUCCGCAAUGGGCGAAAGCCUGACGGAGCAACGCCGCGUGAGUGAUGACGGCCUUCGGGUUGUAAAGCUCUGUGAUCGGGGACGAACGGUCCGUAAGUCAAUACCUUAUGGAAGUGACGGUACCCGAAUAGCAAGCCACGGCUAACUACGUGCCAGCAGCCGCGGUAAUACGUAGGUGGCAAGCGUUGUCCGGAAUUAUUGGGCGUAAAGCGCGCGCAGGCGGCUUUCUAAGUCCAUCUUAAAAGUGCGGGGCUUAACCCCGUGAUGGGAUGGAAACUGGAAAGCUGGAGUAUCGGAGAGGAAAGUGGAAUUCCUAGUGUAGCGGUGAAAUGCGUAGAGAUUAGGAAGAACACCGGUGGCGAAGGCGA